rnacentral:rRNA from 1 species
UCGAGAAUCUUUCACAAUGGGCGAAAGCCUGAUGGAGCGACGCCGCGUGGAGGAUGAAGGCCUUAGGGUUGUAAAACUCUUUCGUCGGGGACGAUAAUGACGGUACCCGAAGAAGAAGCUCCGGCUAACUUCGUGCCAGCAGCCGCGGUAAUACGAAGGGAGCUAGCGUUGUUCGGAAUCACUGGGCGUAAAGCGCACGUAGGCGGAUAGUUAAGUCAGGGGUGAAAUCCUGGGGCUCAACCCCAGAACUGCCUUUGAUACUGGCUGUCUCGAGGUCGAGAGAGGUUGGUGGAAUUCCUAGUGUAGAGGUGAAAUUCGUAGAUAUUAGGAAGAACACCAGUGGCGAAGGCGGCCAACUGGCUCGAUACUGACGCUGAGGUGCGAAAGCGUGGGGAGCAAACAGGAUUAGAUACCCAGGUAGUCCCUGAGCGGGCUGGCAAGGCGCAU